rnacentral:rRNA from 1 species
UUAAGCGACUAAGCGUACACGGUGGAUGCCCUGGCAGUCAGAGGCGAUGAAGGACGUGCUAAUCUGCGAUAAGCGUCGGUAAGGUGAUAUGAACCGUUAUAACCGGCGAUUUCCGAAUGGGGAAACCCAGUGUGAUUCGUCACACUAUCAUUAACUGAAUCCAUAGGUUAAUGAGGCGAACCGGGGGAACUGAAACAUCUAAGUACCCCGAGGAAAAGAAAUCAACCGAGAUUCCCCCAGUAGCGGCGAGCGAACGGGGAGCAGCCCAGAGCCUGAAUCAGUGUGUGUGUUAGUGGAAGCGUCUGGAAAGGCGCGCGAUACAGGGUGACAGCCCCGUACACAAAAAUGCACAUGCUGUGAGCUCGAUGAGUAGGGCGGGACACGUGGUAUCCUGUCUGAAUAUGGGGGGACCAUCCUCCAAGGCUAAAUACUCCUGACUGACCGAUAGUGAACCAGUACCGUGAGGGAAAGGCGAAAAGAACCCCGGCGAGGGGAGUGAAAAAGAACCUGAAACCGUGUACGUACAAGCAGUGGGAGCACGCUUAGGCGUGUGACUGCGUACCUUUUGUAUAAUGGGUCAGCGACUUAUAUUCUGUAGCAAGGUUAACCGAAUAGGGGAGCCGAAGGGAAACCGAGUCUUAACUGGGCGUUAAGUUGCAGGGUAUAGACCCGAAACCCGGUGAUCUAGCCAUGGGCAGGUUGAAGGUUGGGUAACACUAACUGGAGGACCGAACCGACUAAUGUUGAAAAAUUAGCGGAUGACUUGUGGCUGGGGGUGAAAGGCCAAUCAAACCGGGAGAUAGCUGGUUCUCCCCGAAAGCUAUUUAGGUAGCGCCUCGUGAAUUCAUCUCCGGGGGUAGAGCACUGUUUCGGCAAGGGGGUCAUCCCGACUUACCAACCCGAUGCAAACUGCGAAUACCGGAGAAUGUUAUCACGGGAGACACACGGCGGGUGCUAACGUCCGUCGUGAAGAGGGAAACAACCCAGACCGCCAGCUAAGGUCCCAAAGUCAUGGUUAAGUGGGAAACGAUGUGGGAAGGCCCAGACAGCCAGGAUGUUGGCUUAGAAGCAGCCAUCAUUUAAAGAAAGCGUAAUAGCUCACUGGUCGAGUCGGCCUGCGCGGAAGAUGUAACGGGGCUAAACCAUGCACCGAAGCUGCGGCAGCGACGCUGAUGCGUUGUUGGGUAGGGGAGCGUUCUGUAAGCCUGUGAAGGUGUGCUGUGAGGCAUGCUGGAGGUAUCAGAAGUGCGAAUGCUGACAUAAGUAACGAUAAAGCGGGUGAAAAGCCCGCUCGCCGGAAGACCAAGGGUUCCUGUCCAACGUUAAUCGGGGCAGGGUGAGUCGACCCCUAAGGCGAGGCCGAAAGGCGUAGUCGAUGGGAAACAGGUUAAUAUUCCUGUACUUGGUGUUACUGCGAAGGGGGGACGGAGAAGGCUAUGUUGGCCGGGCGACGGUUGUCCCGGUUUAAGCGUGUAGGCUGGUUUUCCAGGCAAAUCCGGAAAAUCAAGGCUGAGGCGUGAUGACGAGGCACUACGGUGCUGAAGCAACAAAUGCCCUGCUUCCAGGAAAAGCCUCUAAGCAUCAGGUAACAUCAAAUCGUACCCCAAACCGACACAGGUGGUCAGGUAGAGAAUACCAAGGCGCUUGAGAGAACUCGGGUGAAGGAACUAGGCAAAAUGGUGCCGUAACUUCGGGAGAAGGCACGCUGAUAUGUAGGUGAAGUCCCUCGCGGAUGGAGCUGAAAUCAGUCGAAGAUACCAGCUGGCUGCAACUGUUUAUUAAAAACACAGCACUGUGCAAACACGAAAGUGGACGUAUACGGUGUGACGCCUGCCCGGUGCCGGAAGGUUAAUUGAUGGGGUCAGCGCAAGCGAAGCUCUUGAUCGAAGCCCCGGUAAACGGCGGCCGUAACUAUAACGGUCCUAAGGUAGCGAAAUUCCUUGUCGGGUAAGUUCCGACCUG